AGGCCAGCGAGAGAACUGUUGUUAAGGAACUCGGCAAAAUGACCCCGUAACUUAGGGAUAAGGGGUGCCACCAUCAGGUGGCCGCAGAGAAUAGGCCCAAGCGACUGUUUACCAAAAACAUAGGUUUCUGCUAAGUCGCAAGACGAUGUAUAGGAGCUGACGCCUGCCCGGUGCUGGAAGGUUAAGGGGAUCUGUUAGAGCAAUCGAAGCAGUGAACUUAAGCCCCAGUAAACGGCGGCCGUAACUAUAACGGUCCUAAGGUAGCGAAAUUCCUUGUCGGGUAAGUUCCGACCCGCACGAAAGGCGUAACGAUUUGGGCACUGUCUCAACAACAGACUCGGUGAAAUUGUAAUUCCGGUGAAGAUGCCGGAUACCUGCGACAGGACGGAAAGACCCCAUGGAGCUUUACUGUAGCUUGACAUUGGGUCUUGGUACUACAUGUACAGGAUAGGUGGGAGGCUUUGAAACCAGGACGCCAGUUUUGGCGGAGCCAUCCUUGGGAUACCACCCUUGUA
rnacentral:rRNA from 1 species